UACAGAGGUCUCAAGCGUUGUUCGGAUUCAUUGGGCGUAAAGGGUGCGUAGGCGGCGCGGUAAGUCGGGUGUGAAAUCUCGGAGCUUAACUCCGAAACUGCAUUCGAUACUGCCGUGCUUGAGGACUGGAGAGGAGACUGGAAUUUACGGUGUAGCGGUGAAAUGCGUAGAUAUCUGGAGGAAUACCGGUGGCGAAGGCGGCAUCCUGGACCGACAUUGACGCUGAUGAGCGAAAGCUAGGGGAGCAAACGGGG
rnacentral:rRNA from 1 species